rnacentral:rRNA from 1 species
GCUGGCGGCGUGCUUAACACAUGCAAGUCGAGUGCGCGUCUGUAGCAAUACAGAUGGCGCACGGCGCACGGGUGCGUAACACGUGGGCAAUCUGCCCUUCGAUGGGGAAUAUCUUCGGGAAACCGAAGCGAAUUCCGCAUAACAUUCCUUGGACUUCGGUUCGAGGACUCAAAGCCGUAAGGCGUCGAAGGAGGAGCCCGCGCACGAUUAGCUAGUUGGUAGGGUAACGGCCUACCAAGGCUUUGAUCGUUAGCUGGUCUGAGAGGAUGGCCAGCCACACUGGAACUGAGACACGGUCCAGACUCCUACGGGAGGCAGCAGUGGGGAAUCUUGCACAAUGGGCGAAAGCCUGAUGCAGCGACGCCGCGUGGGGGAUGAAGCAUCUCGGUGUGUAAACCCCUUUCGACCCGGAAGAAUGCCUCGCAAGAGGACUGACGGUACGGGUAUAAGAAGCCCCGGCUAACUACGUGCCAGCAGCCGCGGUAAGACGUAGGGGGCCAGCGUUGUUCGGAAUUACUGGGUGUAA